UACGAAGAGGGCUAGCGUUGUUCGGAAUCACUGGGCGUAAAGCGCACGUAGGCGGAUCUUUAAGUCAGGGGUGAAAUCCCGAGGCUCAACCUCGGAACUGCCUUUGAUACUGGGGAUCUCGAGUCCGGGAGAGGUGAGUGGAACUGCGAGUGUAGAGGUGAAAUUCGUAGAUAUUCGCAAGAACACCAGUGGCGAAGGCGGCUCACUGGCCCGAUACUGACGCUGAGGCACGAAAGCGUGGGGAGCAAACAGGG
rnacentral:rRNA from 1 species